UCGCGGCCUCUCCGCACCCCACGUCCCGGGAGCCGACCGGGAGACUCUCACGGCGGAGUUCCACAGACCUCGUUAGGUUAAAGGAACCUCGCCUUGCCCCCCACUAAUCGGCUAGAGAGGGAGGCCGGCGAAACAAAAGCCGUAGAGGAAAAUUAAGCGACUUCCCCCUCGGCGGGGAACUUGGAGGUCGGGGAAGGUGUGAUUAUGAAAAUAAACAAGGGAAGUGAGGGAAAUAUAACCAAGUGGAAAAAGGAAAUGGAGUGCAAAUUGAGAACAUAAUCCAGAAUUCGUAAAAGUGGUAUGGAUAAAGAAGGUCAAAAUGGUCUCUGAUGAAAAGAAACUUUUAAAAUGCUUGGAAAAGUUAAUGAAUUAGAUUUCCCUGCACUUGAAGAUAUUAGGAUUGGGAGAUCAAGACUCCCAUCAGCCAAAUCAAGAAUAUUCACAAUUGACAGGAAAACUCAAAGUUUCUUUUUCCCCACCAGAGAAAUGUCUCCCACCCCCAUAGCUAAACAGUGGUAAGUCAUAGAAAUGAUUAUAUUAGCUUAAAGAGAAUGUUUCCUA
rnacentral:lncRNA from 1 species